UAAAAUAAUCGUUCAUCUUCGAUACUAUAUGUUCAUGUGUAUAUGUAUUGACUGGACAGAUAAGCUUUCUCAUCCACUAUCAGAGAACAGUUACGUCGAUUUCUAGAACGACAACUAUAUUAGAGGUCAUAAAGUCGUAUCUUCGCUUAUUAUUUGCAUAAUAUAACAUUGUACAAUGUUGUCUGGAACACUUUUCGAUAGUAACAAGCACGCAUACACGUGACUUCGUCGGGCUUCUUCGAAUAGUCUAUAAAGUUCAAUUUAACAAGUUUUAUCAUAUAAUAAUUACAAGUUGCUUAGAAGUUUGCAAGUAUCGAUGUUGAAACCUUUACGAUAUUUGUCUACGAGCUGGAUAUUCAAUUCUCGUGUACAUUCGUCGAUUGCUCUAUCUUCCAUACCCUAUCGGUAUAUUACAUGAAAGUGGAAUUGGAUAGAAGCUCUAUUUCAGUAGAUACCAUAACUACAUGUAUUAUGUGUUACCUGAUUGGCUCUAUUAACUGCCACAAGACGGAAAACUGAAAACAUGACGAUACGCUUUAUGGCGAGGAGAAUGUGCGUGAUCUUGACGAACUUGAAGCAAAGAUCAGUUGCUAAUCGCAUCUUUAUAAUCCAAGUUCAAGUCACGUUUAUCAAGUACAAGUGGUUAACAGCGGCUUGAUGCGACUGCGCAUUGACUGUUUUGCUAUCGUUUUGAAGACGGUGAAUAAUAGUCAACGAUGUUUUCAUGUCUGAAUAUGACAGAUGCAAAGUUCUUCGUUAUCGUUUUCUAGAAAAAUGUAUGAAUCAUUUCCCGUGCUAUAAGCCAUUUUUUCCUUCGUUCUCUCAUGCUUCGGUUUGUAAAUUUUCAAUAUAAUAUUCUAUCGACAGAAUUUCAUAAAAAAAAAAUUUUUUACAGAUAAUUGCAGUAUUUUCGAUUUAGUUAAUUUUUCGCGUACUCCCUAUAAACUUGUUUCAGACUUAUAGCUAUUAUUUUUAUGACUAUAAGUAGCUUGUUUUACAAAUAUAACAUAUCGGUAAAACCAGGCUUAAUUCGUUCUUUCCGUUAAAUUAAUACCGUCCACACCAAUGAUGCAUCUAUGUAGAUAUACAUUGCCACUUGAUAAGCGUGACCCGAAUCAGGAAGACGCAAGCGCAAUUCACAUACUUAGUUUUGUCUCAAAGUUUAUAUAAUAUUACACAUCAUGAAGCUCCUUCUUAUUUUUCCAGUUUUCUGCUUUGCCACGCUUAGCAGAGUACACUGUGAAAAGGAUUGUUACAAAGAAAUUUUUGAGCAAUGUGCACGAGAAUUGAAUAUCGCGGACCUACAAGAGCUCGUCAGCACUAUCAAAUGGAAUGUUUUCAGAAUUUCUUGCAAAUACCAAUGACGAUGUGCUGUGUAUGUUUACUUGUAUAUUGAAAAAACAACACAAUUACAACACGACAACGCUUCACGAAGGACUUUUGAAAGCAGUAGACAUAGGCAAGACGAUCCAACUGCUAAUGUCUUUAUUACGUAAGAGAACGAUAUAAUUAUUGCUACUUUUAUUUUGUAGCAUACGAAAAUCACUUCAAGACCACUAAAUUCACGCGUGAUGAUGUAGAAUCCAAGAUAAGUAAUUGUCUUACACAAGAGCGAGAUGAAUGCAAGUUCGUCAAAUGUGUCGAACCAACAAAUUUGCCGUUUAUUGAUGUAUUAACCUAUAUGGCACAAGUGUAAUCUACACAUAUAACGUUUAUUUUCAAGAUAUAAUGAUAAGCGUGAAUUUUAUUU